AGAAAGAUGCAGGUUCUCUGUAUUACCUCAUUGACUCCCACAGAUAAGUACAAGCAUUAGCUCCAUUUUCAGGUGGAGGAAAUGAAGCUUAACAAGGUGAAGUUAAAACCUUUAAAACCCGCAUGCCCAGGCCACACCCCAGUCACCCAGCGCAGGCCCAGCAUCUUGACCCCCGCCCACUGCAGGGCCUCCUGCCUCUGCCCUCGGCCGGGUUUAUAAGGAGGAACUCAGCAGCAAUGGGGGAGUUCCACGGCUCUCCCUCCCGCUCCGAGGAAAGUGACAGCGGGUCGUGACCCACAGGCAUAUGCAGCAGCGUCAACUCCGUCCACCGUGAGUCAGAGCUGGAAGAUGUCAAGUUUCUCUGUUCUGUGUAUCCACGAUUCCGGGGAAGACCGUCAGUGUUCCUGUGUCCUUAGAAGUGCAGUAAUACCUUAUGGCCACAAGGCAGCAGCUCCCAGCUCAAUGUAAGCUGAAAUGAAGAAAGUGAUGGAAAAGCAUGUUGCGUGGGAGGUUUCUACUGGCCCAGGAAGUGUUGAGUAGAGUCCUUAACUGAGAAUAAAGAAGCAGUAGUUCACGACGUUCUAAAAAGAGACACCAACAGCUAGGACCAGACACCUCAGCAUUCCCCCAAAUGGCAGAACUGACCCUGUGGCCCGCAACCUGCACCACAGCCCAGUUUCCUGGUCCCAGCCCACCCACUGGUGAGGAGUCCAGGGGGGUGGGUGUCAGCUGGCUUCCUUGGGCCUCAUUUGCAGUGAGAGCUGAUCCCACCUUCCCUGCUGCAGAUGGAUGGGAUGCUUUCUUUCCACUUCAGGAAAUCAGUGAGUUGGAUUUUUCCUGUGCAUGGGACGGGAGCUUCCUGAGAAUCACUGGUCAAGCACGAGGGUCACUGCAAGACAAGGCCCUGGCGUCCCAUCCUGGCGUAGACUUCUGCUUGGCCAGUGGCUGGCUGGCCGAGCCCUGUGCCCAGCUGAGAUGAAGGGUCUUGUGGUGGCCAACAGGACUCAGAGAAGGAUAACGGAAAAGUGCCCAUCACUUCCUCCAUUGAGUGUGGUGAGGAAACCGAAUUUCUCCCGUGGGUCAAGUCAACAUCGAAGAAGGGAAUGGUCAGGGAAGAAGAAGGGAGAUAAAGAUUUGAGGCUAUUUACUUUGUCUUCCCACAUAAACUGUCCUGUAGAGGUGGACAUCUCCAGAGAGAUGAGUUCAGAGGAAAAGCGUGGUGACAGGAAGUGGUGACCCUACCAAACCUGGCCCAAAUGUUGAAUGAAGUAUGUGAAAAAGUCAGCUGAAGGCAGGAGAUUUAUCGAACCUGAAUACUUCAUGAAGAGCUGCAUAAAAAUCUAGCAGAAAAAGGCUCAUGAAUUGGGUGCCGGCAGUGUAUAUAGGACUAACCCAUCUGUACUCACAGGAGCAGGGCCGUCGAGGGACAUGUGGGGUGCCACUCAGGAACCACAGAAAGGAAAAAGUUGCAUGUGCUGGCGCUCUGGAGGCCUUGUAGGUGUCCGUGGAGUCCCCGAUCACCGCUGGCUGCCUGGGAAAGCGAAGGUUCACGCUGCUCUCCAUCUUAGGGUCGCCGCCGUCCCCGCAGGACAGAUGCCAGUGCUGCAGCUUGGAGCUCUUGUUGGAUUUCUUUUUCUUCUCCUCUGUCUGCAUGUCCAGGGUUUGCUUCUGAGAACACAGUCUGCUGCUACUCAGCACAUCGAGGGAUUUGGUGGAAGCCUCACAUGUGUAAUAGGACGGAUGGACGUCUUCCCGGUGCACGUCUUUCUUUCGUGAAGGGCCUGACUUCGGAGGCCCUUCCUGCUGAGGCGUGGACAGAGCGCUGGCAAUCAGCUUGCUUCUCCCAGGGCUUUUCAGAGCCCCCGAGGUCCCAGGGGCAGUGGGAGGCCUCGCCUUGGCCCCCUUUCCUUUCUCGCACUGGACAGUCUGGAUCUGUAGCCACUCGAGCUGGACAAGCCUGUCGACGUACUUCCCCAGCGGCCCCGCGGCUCUGGGCACGGCCUCUGUCCUGCGCUCAGAGUGCAGGAGCACAGCCAUGUCCCGCAGGUCCCAGGAGUUACACGGGGCCGGGAGGAAGUCGGGGUAACAGUAUUCGGGCUGGAUGGGACCCUGCCCUGGGUGCAGAUCGAAGUGAACCGCAUCAAUCUCUUCGGCUCGAAGGUGAAGAUCUGGAGGCGUGAGGGGAGAAGGGGGGACGGGGAUUCUUUCUGAAUCAGAGAGGUCACUGGCACUGUCCUCCUCAGCAUCUUCUUUGACAAUUUUCAUCGUCUGAAAGUCCAGAAACAACUUGUUCCCUGAGGACCCCCGACACCUGUAGCCAAGGGGACUCCUUUUGGGGUUUCCUUCCGGGGAAAUGCUUUCCUUCAGUUUAUCCUCAGUUGGUUGGGGGACACAUCCUCCGAGACUGCUUUUCAGCUGGGACGAGACGUAGGGGACUUGGGAUUUACUCUGCCUUUUUCUUGAAUUUUUUGGACAUUGUACUUUAUUCCAAGAGGGGCCUGCAUUCAUAUUGCUGCGAGAAAUAAACCUGCAAUUCUUAGUCCAUCUGACAAAAACUGGCCAGCCGAUGACUGAACAAAGGAACCAAAAGAAUCCCCUAGUGGUAUAUUUCAGCUAUCGCGAGGUAUUAGAAAAUGUGAGGCCUCUAAACUCACAGAACAAGUUACAGGACAAUUUUCCACUUGAUACUCUACUUAGGAAACAUCAUAGUGUAGGUGCCAGAGUUAAUGCAUGGAUUCUAUUUUACAUCAAACAUUAGCUUUUAAGAAAAACACUAACAUUUCAUAAAGUGCUUAUAUUAUCAUUUUAAACAUUAGUUUGGAAAACAUCUCUCAUAGG